rnacentral:rRNA from 1 species
CUACCUGAUUCGAGGUCAACCUUUCAGAAGUUGGGGGUUUUACGGCUUGGCCUCCGCCGAGCUUCCAGUUGCGAGGAGUAAACUACUACACAAAGGAGCUACGGCAGGACCGCCACUGAAUUUAGGGGACAGCGGCACCCGCAGAGCGGGCGCCUUCGCGCUGAGCCCCAACACCAAGCAGAGCUUGAGGGUUGAAAUGACGCUCGAACAGGCAUGCCCACCAGAAUACUAGUGGGCGCAAUGUGCGUUCAAAGAUUCGAUGAUUCACAAUUCUGCGCGUCUCAUUACGUAUCGCAUUUCGCUGCGUUCUUCAUCGAUGCCAGAGCCAAGAGAUCCGUUGUUGAAAGUUUUAAUUUAUUGCUUAUGUUACUCAGAAGAUUCGCUAGAAUGCAAAGAGUUUAUGUGGUCCUCCGGCGGGCGCCUGGUACCGGUGCGAGGCUUGCGCCAGCGCCCGGGGCUCUCCCGCCGAGGCAACGUAUAGGUAUGUUCACAGGGGUUUGGGAGUUGUAAACUCGGUAAUGAUCCCUCCGCAGGUUCACCCUACGGAA